UAACAGACCAGGCAUUUAUUUGAGACCAGGCGGCGAUUUGGGACAGACGAUAAAUUCCUUCCUCACAAAAACUGGGUGAAAGUCAAAGCUGUGAUGGUCAAUAUUUCCGAUCUGAACACUGAAUGCAAUGACUAGAUGUAAUGUGAUUCGGUUGACGCCACAGCCAAGGCUCCAGAGGUCACCGUCUCUGGAUUUACAUCUCAUCCCAAGAGCCUUUAUGAGCAGAUCUGGUCCGUAACUUAGCCUAUUUGCAUCUUCUGCUGUCUCCAUGGAGAUAAGUUUAAAGCCAUACAGUGGAGCACCAGGCGAAGCAAUACGAUCUCCA